rnacentral:rRNA from 1 species
AGUCACUGACAUUAGAUACCCGUGUAGUCCAGGGUGUAAACGCUGCAGACUUGGUGUUGGAGGCCCUUUGGGGGCAUUCAGUGCCGGAGAGAAGUUGUUAAGUCUGCUACUUGGGGAGUACGUCCGCAAGGAUGAAACUUAAAGGAAUUGGCGGGGGGAGCACCGCCAACGGGAGGAGCGUGCGGUUUAAUUGGAUUCAACACCGUAAAACUCACCAGGGAAGACUGUUACAUGAAGGCCGAGAUGAAGACUCUGCUAGAUUUUUCAG